AACGAACGCUGGCGGCAGGCUUAACACAUGCAAGUCGAACGCAUCUCUUCGGAGGUGAGUGGCAGACGGGUGAGUAACGCGUGGGAACGUGCCCUUUGGUUCGGGAUAACCCGGGGAAACCCGGGCUAAUACCGGAUAAGCCCUUACGGGGAAAGGUUUACUGCCGAAGGAUCGGCCCGCGUCGGAUUAGCUUGUUGGUGUGGUAACGGCGCACCAAGGCGACGAUCCGUAGCUGGUCUGAGAGGAUGAUCAGCCACACUGGGACUGAGACACGGCCCAGACUCCUACGGGAGGCAGCAGUGGGGAAUAUUGGACAAUGGGCGCAAGCCUGAUCCAGCCAUGCCGCGUGAGUGAAGAAGGCCCUAGGGUUGUAAAGCUCUUUCAGCGGGGACGAUAAUGACGGUACCCGCAGAAGAAGCCCCGGCUAACUUCGUGCCAGCAGCCGCAGUAAAAC
rnacentral:rRNA from 1 species